rnacentral:ncRNA from 1 species
UUGCGGUGUCCCUUGCGGACUCAAUAGGGAAUCGGGUGUGAAUCCCGGACAGUUCCCGCUGCUGUGAUGGCUACAACGCUUGCCAUGAAUGCCACUGAAAGCCAGUCUUUCGGGAAGGCGGCAAUGCGAGACCUCAGUCAGAAGACCUGCCUCAAGUCG